GCUCUAUCUCUGUGCCCACCCCCGGGAUUACACAGAGGAUGCGCGCGUUAUCCAGAUUGAGUGGGUAUAGAGCGUCUGUGCGUGGCUUAAAAUCUCUCCUGAAAUCCAUCAGGCUCUUAACCCUGGCCCCGCUUGAGAAACUCUUACUCGAGAGUUUGGUAGGGGCAUGGAAAAUUCCCGGUGGAGGGGAAAUUUGCAUAUAUACCGAGAAGAACACCUGGGGCGAAAGACUCUGCUGGGCCAUAACUGACUUAGAGAGCACAAAGCGAGGGGAAGAAAAGGGAUUAUAUACCCCUGUAUUCCUCGCCGUAAACAAUGGAUACUAGAUGUUGGGUAGGUUAAAUCUCUCAGUAUCGUAGCUAACGCGUGAAGU
rnacentral:rRNA from 1 species